rnacentral:rRNA from 1 species
GACGAACGCUGGCGGCGUGCCUAAUACAUGCAAGUUGAGCGCUGAAGGUUGGUACUUGUACCAACUGGAUGAGCAGCGAACGGGUGAGUAACGCGUGGGGAAUCUGCCUUUGAGCGGGGGACAACAUUUGGAAACGAAUGCUAAUACCGCAUAAAAACUUUAAACACAAGUUUUAAGUUUGAAAGAUGCAAUUGCAUCACUCAAAGAUGAUCCCGCGUUGUAUUAGCUAGUUGGUGAGGUAAAGGCUCACCAAGGCGAUGAUACAUAGCCGACCUGAGAGGGUGAUCGGCCAAAUUGGGACGGAGACACGGCCCAAACUCCUACGGGAGGCAGCAGGAGGGAAACUUCGGCAAGGGACGAAAGUCUGACCGAGCAACGCCGCGUGAGUGAAGAAGGGUUUCGGAUCGUAAAACUCUGUUGGUAGAGAAGAACGGUGGUGAGAGUGGAAAGCUCAUCAAGUGACGGUAACUACCCAGAAAGGGACGGCUAACUACGUG